rnacentral:rRNA from 1 species
GAUGAACGCUGGCGGCGUGCCUAAUACAUGCAAGUCGAACGCAUAGCGAAAGGUGCUUGCACCUUUCAAGUGAGUGGCGAACGGGUGAGUAACACGUGGACAACCUGCCUCAAGGCUGGGGAUAACAUUUGGAAACAGAUGCUAAUACCGAAUAAAACUUAGUGUCGCAUGACACAAAGUUAAAAGGCGCUUCGGCGUCACCUAGAGAUGGAUCCGCGGUGCAUUAGUUAGUUGGUGGGGUAAAGGCCUACCAAGACAAUGAUGCAUAGCCGAGUUGAGAGACUGAUCGGCCACAUUGGGACUGAAACACGGCCCAAACUCCUACGGGAGGCUGCAGUAGGGAAUCUUCCACAAUGGGCGAAAGCCUGAUGGAGCAACGCCGCGUGUGUGAUGAAGGCUUUCGGGUCGUAAAGCACUGUUGUAUGGGAAGAACAGCUAGAAUAGGAAAUGAUUUUAGUUUGACGGUACCAUACCAGAAAGGGACGGCUAAAUACGUG